UAUUGGGCGUAAGAGCUCGUAGGCGGUUUGUCGCGUCUGCUGUGAAAACCCGAGGCUCAACCUCGGGCCUGCAGUGGGUACGGGCAGACUAGAGUGCGGUAGGGGAGAAUGGAAUUCCUGGUGUAGCGGUGGAAUGCGCAGAUAUCAGGAGGAACACCGAUGGCGAAGGCAGUUCUCUGGGCCGUUACUGACGCUGAGGAGCGAAAGCGUGGGGAGCGAACAGGAUUAGAUACCCUGGUAGUCCACGCCGUAAACGUUGGGAACUAGAUGUGGGGACCUUUCCACGGUCUCCGUGUCGCAGCUAACGCAUUAAGUUCCCCGCCUGGGGAGUACGGCCGCAAGGCUAAAACUCAAAGGAAUUGACGGGGGCCCGCACAAGCGGCGGAGCAUGCGGAUUAAUUCGAUGCAACGCGAAGAACCUUACCAAGGCUUGACAUAUACCGGAAACUUCCAGAAAUGGUUGCCCCGCAAGGUCGGUAUACAGGUGGUGCAUGGUUGUCGUCAGCUCGUGUCGUGAGAUGUUGGGUUAAGUCCCGCAACGAGCGCAACCCUCGUUCUAUGUUGCCAGCACGUCAUGGUGGGAACUCAUAGGAGACUGCCGGGGUCAACUCGGAGGAAGGUGGGGAUGACGUCAAAUCAUCAUGCCCCUUAUGUCUUGGGCUUCACGCAUGCUACAAUGGCCGGUACAAAGGGCUGCGAUACCGUAAGGUGGAGCGAAUCCCAAAAAGCCGGUCUCAGUUCGGAUUGAGGUCUGCAACUCGACCUCAUGAAGUCGGAGUCGCUAGUAAUCGCAGAUCAGCAACGCUGCGGUGAAUACGUUCCCGGGCCUUGUACACACCGCCCGUCAGUCAUGAAAGUCGGUAACACCCGAAGCCGGGGGCCUAACCCCUUGUGGGAGGGAGCCGUCAAAGUGGAUCGGUGAUUAGAACGAAGUCGUAACAGG
rnacentral:rRNA from 1 species